ACUCAAAGGAAUUGACGGGGGCCCGCACAAGUGGUGGAGCAUGUGGUUUAAUUCGACGCUACGCGAAGAACCUUACCCGGGUUUGAAUUGCAGUGGUUGUACCUGCCAGAGAUGGCAGGGAGGGGGCAACCCCGCUGCUGUGAAGGUGCUGCAUGGCUGUCGUCAGCUCGUGCCGUGAGGUGUUGGGUUAAGUCCCGCAACGAGCGCAACCCUUAUCCUUAGUUGCCAGCGCGUAAUGGCGGGCACUCUGGGGAGACUGCCGACACAAGUCGGAGGAAGGUGGGGAUGACGUCAAGUCAGCAUGGCCCUUACGUCCGGGGCUACACACGUGCUACAAUGGCCGGUACAACGGGCAGCGAGACCGCGAGGUGGAGCGAAUCCCUUCAAAGCCGGCCUCAGUUCGGAUUGCAGGCUGCAACUCGCCUGCAUGAAGUUGGAAUCACUAGUAACCGCAGAUCAGCUACGCUGCGGUGAAUACGUUCCCGGGCCUUGUACACACCGCCCGU
rnacentral:rRNA from 1 species